UUCAAGUUCAAUGGUAUACAUAACGAAAGUGUUAAGUAGGGGACUCUGCGAGAUAGAUAUUUCUUCUGAAUCACUGAACUUUGCAGCCAGGGAUGGACCGAUACAUGCGAAAUAUGUGUUGAAGUUCUCUACAACGUCCUUAUCAG
rnacentral:lncRNA from 1 species